rnacentral:misc_RNA from 1 species
UGCAUUCAGCAGACGAUGUUUUUUUUACCGGCAGGUGAGCAACAGGUGAGUCGCCGGGUAUCUGAGCCGCUGACCCCAAGCUCAUCUCAUUUUCGGCAACUCUAUCUGAGUGUAAUGGCUGAUGUUUAUACAAAUCCAGACAAACAUGUGGUCCUUCACAACAAUGUUAAAAUGCCUAUUCUUGGUUUAGGCACAUCACACAAUGGUGGAUAUAGUCAUUCAGCUGUUGUGUAUGCAUUAAAAGACUGUGGGUAUAGACAUAUUGAUACAGCCAAACGAUACGGUUGUGAAGCUUACAUUGCUAAAGCUGUAAAGGAAUCAGAAGUCCCUCGUGAUGAAAUCUUCUUGGCGACAAAGUGUUGGCCCACUGACUAUGGGACCAUUGCUACUCGAAAUGCCUUCAAUGGUUCCUGCGAAAGACUGGGGUCAGAUUACAUAGAUCUUUAUCUUCUGCAUUGGCCUGAUGUACCUUCAAGUGUGAGUGACAGAAACCGCCUUUUGCAAGAAACAUGGCGGACACUAGAGGUGUUGCUGGAUGAGGAACGUGUGAGAGCCAUUGGGGUCAGCAACUUCCUUGAACGACACCUUGAUGUGAUUCUUGAGGAAUGUUCCGUGGUUCCUCACAUCAACCAGUGUGAGUUCCAUCCAUUCAAUAACCCCAAGCAAUUGCGAGAAUAUUGUGCUGAAAGGAAAAUACAAUUUGAGGGUUAUUCCCCUCUAGCAAAAGGUUAUGCUCUUGCGGACUCUACGGUGAAAGCUAUUGCUAAACUUCAUAGACGGAGCCCAUCACAGGUUCUGCUAAGGUGGUCUCUGCAGAGCAGGGUUCCUGCUAUACCAAAAUCAACCAAAGUGCAGCGGGUGAUGGAAAAUGCCCAGGUGUUUGAUUUUGUUCUGCACCAAAAAGACAUGGAUAGUCUCUCUAUGUUAAAUGAUGACUUCCAUGUCUCAUGGGAUCCUAAUUCAUUGCCGUGAUACUUUCUGUUUACACCCUGGCCCCUCCCCAACACUCACAUUUCCUUGCUUCAGAGAUAUUUGACUUUGCUCUCACCGACGAGGACAGUGCAAUCCUGGACAACAUGGCUCAGAAACUGACAAUCAUGGAACGCAGUACAAUACAACACAAAAUUGAUAAUCCUCUACCUGAUGGAUACAAGUUGAAGAUGGUUAAAAUACCUGCUGAGCCAUAAGCAUCAGUAUUAUGGACUUGAAACUUGAAAGGUUAAAUUCUUUUAUGUAGUAUCCUCAUUUAUCAUAAGAAAAUAACUCAUUUUCUAACUUACAUAAAAUAUAAAGUAUAAUUUGCAAAUGCAUUAAAUAAUUCAGUGAAGGAUACUUUGUGGAACAUCACCCAAUUGAACCAAAUUUAAGAUAUUAAUGUUUCAGGAUAUAUUUAUUUUUUCAUGGAAAACCAUUAAUCCAUUUCAUUAUACCACAGUCUAUGUCUGUCAAACCCAUAUAAAAAAUAUCCAGGCUUUAGUAGUCUUGGUAUUUUGAGCCAAUUCUACCAUGCAGCUCUGUUUGUGCUUACUAAAUAAUACAUGAAAGUAUGCACCAUUAAUACUUAUGGUAAUGUAUUAGCAUGACUGUGUGCAUGAGUGGUUGUAAUGGAAAGUAUGAUGGUCUGGGUGUGGGUAUGGAUGUGACUGUGUAUGUGUGCAUGAGUGCAUGCAUGUGUUUGUUCGUUUGUUUGUUAAAAUGCACACACGUGUUUGCCUGUUCUGGGACAUUUUGUUGACAAAGGAUCAUUAACAAUUUUUAUGUAUCUGCUUUAUUUGAACAUGAGGAUAUGUAACAUAUUCUGUAAUAAUGUUUCCAGUAUAUUUAUUUUUUCUCAAACAUUGUGAUAGCUAAAUUACAUAAGCCUAAACAGGUAUUUAUCUAUACUUUGGUUAAAAUUUAGGCUGAAGACAAAAGUGUGGGGUGAAAUAAGUUAGUGAGAACAACAAAGGAAUAAAAAAAAAAAGUUUGUCAUUUUUCUGACAUAGACAAGAGAAAGAACUCUUUACAUUUUAUUUUAGCAUGUUUUAUGUGAUGUAUGUAUAAAGCUUUCUUUAUUAUGCCAACUAAUGGUAAUAGACAUUAGAUAAUUAUUGUAAUAAUUUUAAUGGUGAGAAAUGUGGUAAGUAGCAAACAUUAUUUUAUUGAAUGUGAAUUUUUUAUAAUAAAAUAUUUAUCAGUAUUCA